AAAAUUUCUCUCUCUUCCUCUCUCUCUCGCGUGACCCCUCCCCCAUCUUUUUCUCUUCCUCUUCCCCAUGCCCUACCUCUAGCCGCACCUUCAACUGACCACCCUCCAAUCGACACCAUCGUUCUUCUUCUUCUUUUCUUCUCCGAUUCACGAAGUCGUCGACCGAAGGUUCUACCGCGUUUGAUCUUGCGCGCCAUCCAUCUGUAGACUCAUUGGCGUUGCAUCUUGUUCUUGUCUCCAAUAAACCAAAUAUGGCCGAACCCUAGGCUUCGUUUCUGUAAGGUUGGCGACCGUUCAAAAUCCGACAGCUGCACGCCGUACGCCGUCUCUCCAUCACGAAUCACUCUGUUCGCGAGCUGUUGAUCGUUUGAUGAAGCCAAAUUGACGUUUUGGUUGCCCCUGCCUUCGUUCACAAUCCGACAGCUGCACGCCGUGGUAUGCCGUGGUGCAUCCUUCGUCCGUCGACCGUGAAAUAGCUACUGUUGGUUCUCCAUUCCAGUGUAUUCGUGCCAACUCCAAUUUUUCUUCGUUGUCGUUUCUGCUUGUUUUGGGUAGUUGUGGUACUGUUUGAAGCUAGUAAAUCUUUGAAAUUCUCUAUAGUUGGAGUGGGUGCGUUCCUCCACUAACUAACUGGGUUGUAAUUGUUAAAGUUAGUUCGACCAAGGGGUUUGCAUAAAACUUUGAGUUAAGCCAAAGGUAAUAAAGGCGGCAAACCGGCGAGGGGCAGAAAGGAAGCGUGAACGCCACAGGGGACACUUUAAAAUUUUGCUUCCGCUUGGUGAUUUAUUGUAUUAUUUGUAUUCGAACGUGAGACUGUUUAGAAAUUUUGAGGUUUUAAAGUAUUCAAGGAUUCGAAACAUUUUAGUUUUAAAUUUUCACGUGAAUUUUAGUAAUUUAAAACUGGGGCCCAAACAAACAAAAUAAA